rnacentral:rRNA from 1 species
AGCGAACGCUAGCGGCGGGCCUAACACAUGCAAGUCGAGCGCAUACCUUCGGGUAUGAGCGGCGGACGGGUGAGUAACGCGUAGGUCAUCUACCCUUUGGUGGGGGAUAACCCAGGGAAACUUGGGCUAAUACCGCACGAGGUCCACGGAUCAAAGCCUUCGGGCGCCAGAGGAUGAGCCUGCGUCGCAUUACCUAGUUGGCGGGGUAACGGCCCACCAAGGGGACGAUGCGUAGCUGGUCUGAGAGGAUGAUCAGCCACACUGGGACUGAGACACGGCCCAGACUCCUACGGGAGGCAGCAGUGGGGAAUAUUGCGCAAUGGGGGAAACCCUGACGCAGCCACGCCGCGUGGGUGAUGAAGGCCUUCGGGUUGUAAAGCCCUGUCGGGAGGGACGGAAUUCUUGACGGUACCUCCAAAGAAAGCACCGGCUAACUCCGUGCCAGCAGCCGCGGU